UAAGGCGCAACGCUUAUCUGGAGUCAGGGGAUGACUCAGGAGGAUGCGAGAGCCGCAGCUGGGGCUGGAGCCUCCCUGCUCGCCCGCUGAUGGUACAGCUACCCCACUGCUCUGGGGGCUGCUCAGCCCCCCCUCCACCAGCCACUGCCAGUUCCAGCCUCAAAGCACAGAGUUCAGUCCUCAGCUGGGCUGAGACACGCGUCUUUGGGAGGUUGCUGUACACCAGGUCACCCAGAGCAACGUGGGUUAAAGAUGUGACCAACUGAGCAGAAGAGCAGUGCAAAUUGAAGGACACCUUGAGACAGCAUGUGGAUAAGGGGAGGAAGGUUGACAGAUGAGGUAUUUGGGGUAAAUGGCACUGAGAGCAAGUAUGGGAAAGUUAGGAGCAAAGCCAUCUUGGUGGACAUGAGAGGAAUUUCAAAAUAACUGAAAGACAAUUUAGAAAGGUCAGCAUUAUUAAUGAGAUUUUGACAAGGCAUCAGUCCAGUUUCCCCUUGUACUUGAAUCACCAGUUAGGUGUCUUUGGACUGUAUCUGUGCAUGGUAUAACGCCAAAAAUUACUGAACAUCUACCCUUGAUCACAGAAAAUGCUUUCAUUGACUAUUGCUUUCUGUAUCACAGAAGACAAUGAGCCUCAUUCUCUGAUCUUUUAAUUCUGUUUACUGUACUUGGAUUAUGUCAAUGGGACAUGCUAAGUUUUAACCCACUGAGGGAGAAACCCACAUAUUUGUGUCCCUGCUCAAGCUACAAAGAAAGGGGGGCUGCAAACUUUACAGGGUCAUGCAGCACAGUGAGGGGACCUUCCCCCCAGCUGACAGCCCAGCUACCCCUGGGCAGUAGCUGUCACCCAGCCAUGCUCCCAAUAAAACAAGACACUGGCACAGAAUCUACAAGGAAAGAAACAAGCUAUUUUUUGCAGCUUGUUCUUUUUCAUAGCAUCUCUGCUUAUAUUAAAUUAUUUUGUUGUUAUGAUAUGUUGCUGGUUUCUGGCAUGCUGACAUGCCUAGUAAAAACAGUUGUUAGGGGACUGUUUUGCUCAGUGUACCUGAAAGUUUAUCAUCCAGUGGAGUUUGGGAAAGUGUCUUAAUUAUAUUUUGAUUCCACGGUGAAAGAUAAUUUCAUAUCCCCAUUUAAUUAUCAAUGCAGAACGUUCUGUGAUAAUAUAUUAUUAUGUCUGAACUGUCUGAACCUGAUGUUGUGAUGGCUUAAAAUAGCCUCCAGGGCAGUUCAGUUGUGUGAAACGAAACUGGGACAAUUCCUAAAAGCUCAAGAGGGACUGCAGAUCUAUUAGUCUUGGCAGCAAUAAAGUAGUUGGGAUAAGGAUGAACUUUCAAAAAGUGGAAUCAUUCUUUUUCCUAGCUUAACAAAAAAUGAAAGAAAAACAUUUUAGGAUUUUAUUUUUUAAUUUAGAUUCCCAAUACUAGCAGAUUUUGAAAAACAAGAAUGAUAGAUGUACGUCCUAUAAAGAGCAGAUGAGCUGAAAUUUUAUUUCUGUGUAUCCUGCCCACCUGUGUAGGCAUUUCAAAAGAGUGUUCUUUCACCUGCCUGAACACUUAGCAUCAUCUGAUACCUGAUCAUGGCCCCACCUUGUCCUAAUUGCUUUUGUUUUGCUCAUAAUCAUUUUCUUCUAAUCAAGAGAUUAAAUUGAAAAAAAAAAAAAAAA